rnacentral:rRNA from 1 species
AAAAACUCCGGUGGUGUAAGAUGGGCCCGCGUUGGAUUAGGUAGUUGGUGAGGUAACGGCUCACCAAGCCGACGAUCCAUAGCCGACCUGAGAGGGUGACCGGCCACAUUGGGACUGAGACACGGCCCAAACUCCUACGGGAGGCAGCAGUGGGGAAUAUUGCACAAUGGGCGCAAGCCUGAUGCAGCGACGCCGCGUGAGCGAAGAAGUAUUUCGGUAUGUAAAGCUCUAUCAGCAGGGAAGAAAAUGACGGUACCUGACUAAGAAGCUCCGGCUAAAUACGUGCCAGCAGCCGCGGUAAUACGUAUGGAGCAAGCGUUAUCCGGAAUUACUGGGUGUAAAGGGAGCGUAGACGGAUGUGCAAGUCUGAUGUGAAAGGCGGGGGCUCAACCCCUGGACUGCAUUGGAAACUGUAAAUCUUGAGUGCCGGAGAGGUAAGCGGAAUUCCUAGUGUAGCGGUGAAAUGCGUAGAUAUUAGGAGGAACACCAGUGGCGAAGGCGGCUUACUGGACGGUAACUGACGUUGAGGCUCGAAAGCGUGGGGAGCAAACAGGAUUAGAUACCCUGGUAGUCCACGCGGU